UACGUAGGUGGCAAGCGUUGUCCGGAAUUAUUGGGCGUAAAGCGCGCGCAGGCGGCUUUCUAAGUCCAUCUUAAAAGUGCGGGGCUUAACCCCGUGAUGGGAUGGAAACUGGGGAGCUGGAGUAUCGGAGAGGAAAGUGGAAUUCCUAGUGUAGCGGUGAAAUGCGUAGAGAUUAGGAAGAACACCGGUGGCGAAGGCGACUUUCUGGACGACAACUGACGCUGAGGCGCGAAAGCGUGGGGAGCAAACAGG
rnacentral:rRNA from 1 species